rnacentral:rRNA from 1 species
CAACCUGCCCUACAAUGGGGGACAACAGUUGGAAACGACUGCUAAUACCGCAUACGACCUACGAUUGGCAUCAAUGGUAGGUGAAAGGUGGCCUCUACAUGUAAGCUAUCGUUGUAGGAGGGGAUUGCGUCUGAUUAGCUAGUUGGAGGGGUAACGGCCCACCAAGGCGAUGAUCAGUAGCCGGUCUGAGAGGAUGAACGGCCACAUUGGGACUGAGACACGGCCCAAACUCCUACGAGAGGCAGCAGUG